AUUAAUUGUAAACUGGAAUGAAUGGUUGGACGAAAUAUUAACUGUCUCAUAGCUAUCAUUAGAAUUUAAAUUUUUAGUUAAAAUGCUUAAAUUUUUUUAUAGGACGAGAAGACCCUAUAGAUCUUUAUUAAUUAAUUAAUAUUUAUUUUUAGAUUAUUUUUAUUUUAUUAAUUAAUUUAUUUAGUUGGGGUGACAUUAAGAUAUAAUUAACUCUUAUUAUUUAUAAUCAAUUAUUUUUGUAUAUUUGACCUUUUAUUAUUGUUUUAANAUGAAGAUACCUUAGGGAUAACAGCGUAAUUCUUUUUGAGAGUUCUUAUCGACAAGAGAGAUUGCGACCUCGAUGUUGGAUUAAGAUUAAUAUUAGGUGAAGGUACUUAAUUAUUAAGUCUGUUCGACUUUUAAAAUCUUACAUGAUCUGA
rnacentral:rRNA from 1 species